GUUUUUCUUCUCCCUCUUUCUCACCCUUGAUACGUGAUGAAGACGGAGACAGUGAACGAUCCACCUCCACGGUUGAUCGCGGUUUAUCGUCGCGAAGGCCUCCAAGAGCGUCAACCCCUGCUCGAGUUUCGUCACGAGAGAGAACCCGGGAGAAACUCGAGGAAUUUCCGGGCGCACCUGCGUCAGAGGAGGGAAUCGACAGGUGUGGAAAAAGUUUAUUCUCUCGCUGGGUUUCGCUGACCCGGUCACAGCGAACACCAACGCUGCAUCUACGCCUAUGCGCCAGACGCCGACAAGGGGUUGCUCGCCCCUUCCUGUCUGCACGCUCACAUGGAAACGUGGUCGAGGCUUCUGCACGAACGUGCUCACCGACUGUUCGACCCUGCCUUCCCUAUUUUCUCUCUUCCUACCGGCUCGAUUUUCGCGCAAGCCAAAGAAGAAUACUUAAAACGCUGCAGUCGGGCAUCUUUUCAACCGCCCCUCAAACACACCCUUCUCGUCUCGGGGACAUUAUUCACUGCACCGCGAACAUCGCGUAUUUAAAACGGGCCUGCUUUCCAAUUUGCAUCCCAUGCUUUCCUUUCACCUCCUUCGAUCCACACAUACCGAUUAUUAUUAGACCCGUGUCGUAUGUUAGUUUCCAUUUCUUUCUUUUUUUUUUUUAAUAUAUUAUUUAUAUGGAUGCUUUAUUAAAAUAAUCAGUAUUGUUUAUAUUUUCAAACGAUGAGUUUCAAUGAAAUCUGUCACUGAGUUAAAUGAAAUCUUAGUAUCCGAUGGAAGAAGUCCGUGAAAAAGAAGAGGGUGAAUCGAGGGUUUUCAUCCCUGAAGAUACGCAUUACACGGGAUCGUUAGCAGUCUCCUUACGUCGGUUGGCAUUCGUGGAAAUGGGCUGGACAGAAGGAAACGCGUAGACACGGGGAGAGAAAAUGACGGGGAUAUCAAUGCAGUUUUAGUAGCAGAAGUGGCUACGCGAGACGGAUUAAUUGCGCACUUCAUCCUCGCCGAGAAAAACCCCAUGGCAUCCCCUGCCGCCUCUGAACCUUCGCGUUGAUUGCCACGCAACUCGUUAAAAGUACUGCUGCCUCGAUUCUCUAAUUAGCAAGUAAUUGGAUUCGUUACCCGGUAAGCGGUAUGAAACGGCUCCUUCCAGGAAGUAUGAUUGUCGCGAACUUGUUGUUUCUAUUUAUUAUUCUUUUUUUUUUAAAUUCUAAAGGUUAACUUUCCUCCCGUUUGAACUUUAGAGAUCAGAAUUUCUAAGGAAAUAAGGAUUCAUCGAGUUUCCUUUGCUUUGGAAUUCUACGAAUUUUAUUUAUUUCAAUUAAUUAAAGUCAAUUCACUGCUGCAAAAUACAGAGAAAAUAAUAAUAACACGAAAUUCUUAACGUCUUAAAACUUCUCGCAAUUCGAUCUAUCGUGUUGCACGAUCAGAAAUUAAUUCAUAAAACGCCUCUGCUCACAUGCACCCCUCGCCAUGUUUUACAUCGAGCGUUCGCCAUCGCGAAACCAAUUCCUUUUUUCUCUCGCAGUUUUUCGUAUCGCCUUUAUAUCGACGUAACCGUAAACAGAGUGAAAUAUGACAUGGAAUAAACCGAGGAUGGAAUAACAUCGACGAACUUGACGUUUAUCGUGACGAUGCGAAGACGCACUGAAAAAAGUGCGAGGGAUCUGAGCGCAAUUAGACACGUUAGGAAACAUUUCAGUCUGGCCAAUGCCCCUGAAGCUUAAUGACCCCGUGACUGUGCACAAGCAACGGGCCAAAGGCCCCUCCUAUCGCGUGCACAUACACUUUGCAUGGUUAUCGCGCGAAUAAUUAUAUACCCCUUUACCACCGCGGAUCCGUCUAAUCGAAUCUACACCCGAACUGACGGUGAAAAAUUUCACGAAACUCGUUGGUUAUCUCGGAAACCGACGUUGGUAAACCUGAUUCUCGAUAUUUUGCAUAAAAUUUAAGAUUUAUUCAUUUUAUGGAUGAUUAUUUUUAGAACUCGAGUUGUUAUGUUUAAAAUUGUAAGAAAUUAAAUCUGUUAGAAUUCGAACGUUUAGAUGCAAAAUAAUAGUUAUCUGGAAAUAUAGAAAAUGUCUGGAGAAUAAAAUGAGAGGUAUCUCGCGAAGGUUGCAUUCUUCGCAGUACUUUUUUCGGCGCAUCUGAAAACAAUGCCGUCACCCACGCAGUCUACAGGCACUAUUCGUUAUUGCUUCGUCCCUUUUCACAACUACAUCGUCGUCGAUUCACGGUCACAGUUUGCACCGAACAACGAUCCGUCUAGACAGACAACCCUCCAUGGACGAACCUUCCACCUUGUCUUUCUCCUCUUCUUUUCUUCUAGCUUAGCUUCUCUACUUCGAUCUAUACAUAUUCACGACUCUACGAGACUUGAACGAUAAAACGCGGUCGCCAAAUUAUUUUGCAAAUCAAUUUAAACUGAGAUAGUUUCUUCGAAACUUUGAUUUUACAUCGUCGACAGAUUCGAUAGCAAACAGAAGGAAAAAUUUAUGAAUUUCCUUGAAAAACAGGGUGAAUCGUUGCGAGGGGAUGCGUAGUCAAAGAUUAAAUUCAAUCGUUUACCCCCGUUCGAGGGAGAAUCGAGCGGAAUGUAACGGUGAUUUUGAAGCCGGCGCAUAAUUACGAUUAAUUAAAAAUAGCUUUGGUAUGCCGACGUUCAACCCUCGUGAAGAACGUGCAUCGAUCGUGGAGGGUCGUCGUCCGCUGUGUUGCAACGUAUCCUAUGCAGACAGGAUGCAUUCUCCUUUCAUGCCCGUUCAUGCAAAGGACACUCUCAUCGUGUAUGCAGUUUCGAAGGCUCUACUCGAACUGUCAGAUUUCUCGUAGCGCCUUUGUUCAAAGCUGAAGCGAAUCGACGAUGAUUGCCGAGGCUGAUUCUUUGCAAUUCUCAGGUGAAGAGUUUAUUGGAAACAAUUUUUAAUCAAUUUCAAAAUUAAUUCAAUGCCUUUUUUUAAAUUAGAUCCUGAUCACCGAUGACAUAAUUGAUAUGAAGUUCACCUGAGUUUGUUUAUUAGGUGUUUAAUCGUUUUAGAAUGGAAGAGUAUGUUUCUGACGGUACAUUCACAGUAUUAAAGACGUCGUAACGCCAUAGCAAAAUCCCAUUUACGCAAAGCCACUCGUCGUAACGGAAUUCGGACUUGCAAGGGUGGAAAAGCGAGGGUUCGUCCUCGACUGCCAUUGAAAUAUAGUAAUCUGACAUGGUAUGGCUACGUGGAAAAUCGUGCCAACAACUGCCUUUGAGACGCUCUUUUUACGAGUAUCCCUAGAUAAACCUUCCUUUUUCGGUAAAUGUCUUUGGACCUUCGAGUAUCGUUUAAGAAAUUUCAUUUUUAUGGUAAUUAUUGAAUCACCGACGCUAGACGUUCUUAAAAAAACAAUCUGGCAAAUCAGAGUCCUUUUCCUUUUCAAAAGAGACUGUAUUAUUUACGGUAAAAUACUGACGGUUAUUUUAUUAUUGUUUAAAUAAAUUUAAAAAAAAAACGAAGCCAGCUUUCGAGAGGGAUAAGAAACGACCCCAUUUUGGAAGAUUUCCAAAGGACGUCUAGACUCUAGACGGCGAGGAUGUUCUUUCGACCUUCGCCUCUCCACUUCGAUCGAGAAAAACCGUCGUAAUACGACAUUGCAAAAAUAAUCGUAUGACAGGAACUGGGAGAGAAAAAGAAUCGACGCAAAAUAAUUGAAGGGAGAAAGUUUUUUCCUAUAGUAAAUAUAGAUGAAACAAGUGUAAUUCGUUUUGACGACGUCAAUUAACGCGAUUUGUGCAAAUAAGUAGAAAACAGGGGAAAUAUCCUAAGGGAUAACGCGACAAAUAAUAAUUGCGAGCAUUCUGAAAAUAAUAUCGUAUUACUUAGAUGUUCGUUAACGUUUUAUUUCAUUCAUGUGAAAAUAAACUCGUUACUUCUUUCUUCUGUUUCAUUGAAAAAAUUUAAUGAACUCCCAUGAUGAAUGGGAAGAAAAAUAUAAUUCACAUUUGAUAUUUGGUAAAGGAGAAAAAGGAACCGAUCACGGUGGUACCUGCAUCAGAGGAUCUCGAUUACAGAAACUGUAACUGGUUUCACUGGUUCGAAGGGCGACGGAGGAAACGGGGUGCAACGGGAGACGUUCGCUGGGUCGCCCGGACACGGGGGUUGGAAUUCUGCAGACAGGAUGGCGGCACUGGGGCGAACUUUCGCUCUCUCCUGCUGUACAACUACCACUAUGCCACUGCCACGCCCCAUGACGCAACUGCAACCAGAGCAAACAAUUUGAUCAUGUGAAGAAUUCUGAACAGCAUCUCGUUCAACUGCAAUCAGCUAAACGAAAGAAAAAGAAGGGGAGGGAAGCUUUCCAAGUGAACGAGACGUGCAAAAAGUGUGUCGUCCCAGGGAUGCGGCCGAAAGGCGAAAGGAUAAGGUAUUUGCACUAGACCUAGAGAAAAACAGUGUUCCAUGAGGGUGUGCAUAAAAUUAGACGGUGCAUUCAACUCUGCUGAGACGAUGCCAAGAUGCAAGCCCAAAGAUUCGCGUCUACUUGUUUCUUCUGGAUACUGCAUCACGUUGCAGCGGCAGCCAGGAUGGCACCAAUGCCCCCGUUCCAAACUACUCUCUAAAACGCCCUCUACGUGGCUACCCAUAACAAAUUGCCUUCCAACUGCACGAUACGUGAUACGCUUACCCUUACGGACAAUCCAAGGCAAAAGACCAGCAGAAUUUCAUUUCUUGCUCUAUCAAAGUUGUAUGUACAUACACCGCAGACAAGGGUAAUGAAGACAAAGCAUCACUGAUAUCGACUACUUACCGAAGAUAAUAAUGCAAGCAUUUAUUUAGUUUGUUUCCGAUAAUGAAUAUCUUGAACAAUGUACGCUAUUAAAAGUGAUGGAUAAAUAUAUUCAGUUGAAUGGAUUCA